AGAUUGAACGCUGGCGGCAUGCCUUACACAUGCAAGUCGAACGGCAGCGCGGGGGCAACCCUGGCGGCGAGUGGCGAACGGGUGAGUAAUAUAUCGGAACGUGCCCUGGAGUGGGGGAUAACGUAGCGAAAGUUACGCUAAUACCGCAUACGAUCUAAGGAUGAAAGUGGGGGAUCGCAAGACCUCAUGCUCCUGGAGCGGCCGAUAUCUGAUUAGCUAGUUGGUAGGUAAAAGCCUACCAAGGCAUCGAUCAGUAGCUGGUCUGAGAGGACGACCAGCCACACUGGGACUGAGACACGGCCCAGACUCCUACGGGAGCAGCAGUAGGAUAUUGGACAA
rnacentral:rRNA from 1 species